rnacentral:rRNA from 1 species
CGAACGCUGGCGGCAGGCCUAAUACAUGCAAGUCGAGCGCCCUUUCGGGGGAGCGGCGGACGGGUGAGUAACGCGUGGGAAUGUGCCCUUCGGUACGGAACAACACAGGGGAACUUGUGCUAAUACCGUAUGUGCCCUUCGGGGGAAAGAUUUAUCGCCAUUGGAGCAGCCCGCGUUGGAUUAGGUAGUUGGUGAGGUAAAGGCUCACCAAGCCUACGAUCCAUAGCUGGUCUGAGAGGAUGAUCAGCCACACUGGGACUGAGACACGGCCCAGACUCCUACGGGAGGCAGCAGUAGGGAAUCUUGCGCAAUGGGCGAAAGCCUGACGCAGCCAUGCCGCGUGUAUGAUGAAGGUCUUAGGAUUGUAAAAUACUUUCACCGGGGAAGAUAAUGACGGUACCCGGAGAAGAAGCUCCGGCUAACUUCGUGCCAGCAGCCGCCGUAAUAC